CAGACAUGGAGGCAGAAACGUAACCCAACAGGAAGUGAACUGCAGUCUCCAAUAAAAUGAAGGUAAAGAGAUUUUACAGACAUCAGGCUGAUGUUAUAUGACUGACUGGAAAAAACAUGAUUAACAAACCAAAAACUGAAUAAAAACUAAAAAUAUGUCCUAAUAAUUGCUAGACGUGUUGGCUAAUUUUAUUAGAUAAUUUGUUUCAAAGUGAAAGUUUUUUCAGUGUCUAAAACAAGUUUUAGACGUUUAUUAGACCUAAAUGUGGAUUAAUUACGGCCCAAACCAGACGACUGAAACCUGAAGGUUCAUAACCAAAUUUACCAAAGAACAGAAAAAAGUUUUAAAAAUUUAUCUGUUUCCCUGGUUGAUUUUUAUUAUUUAUAAAACAGUUGAAGCUUGGUUCUUCCACUGUGAUGUUCUACCUGGUCCUGUCUGGUUCUGGUUCUCUCAGAGAAAAUCCUGAACAUUUCGUCAGUAAAAGUUCAAUAUGUAAAUAUCUCAUAUUUCACUAUUCAUUUAGUGUGAAAUGAGUUUAUAUCAAGUCAGUUUUUUGUUUCAGAAAAUGUUUGCAGGAUUCUUUUGGACCUUCCGACUUUUGCUGGUUCUGAACCGGGAUGAAUCUUUGACUGGACUCGCUUCACGUUCAGCUCCUGCAGUGAAAUCAGGUGUUUCAGGCGUCACCAGAUUUCAGUUUUAAUCUGACAGAAACCCGAGACCCGGAUCGCUGCAAUCGGCCCGGUUCUGAGCAGGAAUGCAGGGAGCCGUCGGAGCGUGACGAAGCAGCGGACUGGGUCAGGAGGGUCGGUCCCGGCGGGUCUGAGCAGGUCCAGGAGCCGCCGCCGGAUCGCGGGCGAUGACGGCAGGCAGUUCUGCUGUUUGCUCAGCCAAAGAAUCUGUUCUGUCAACAGAGAGCUGAUGGGGGGUCGGGGCCCCGGGGGCCAGGCCCCUGGGAGGCCCCUGGGAGGCUCCUGGGAGGUCAGACCCCUGGGAGGCUGGGCUCCUGGGAGGGCAUGCCUGGGGCCCCCGCAUCAACCGCAAAUAAAGGUGAAGCAGCUGAUAGGACGAACAAAGGCUGCAGUUUAUGACAGGAAACCAUGAAGAGCUGCAAACAGCCGGGGACCUCACCCUGAGAGUGUGCACGUGAGGGCGUGCACGUGCCAGCAGCCCUCUGGUGGGCAGAUGAACUUUAUGGGUCAAGGUUAACAAGAAGGAUUUAACUGUAGGCUGGAUCCUGAUUUACUGCAAACACCAGUUAUAUUUUAUCAGAGUGAAGAGACCAGAACCAGAACCAGAAUCAGAACCGCUCUGCAGCUGGCUGCUGUUUCAGCAUUAAUGACUGAAACUGCAGCUUCAGCGUUCGCCACAGAACAGAGCAGAAAACCAAAUUCAGACAUGAAAUGUUCUUCAGGUCAAGCAGAACGUUUCUCUUCCUGUUGGGAUCAAACAGCAACAGGAAGCAGAACUCGGGUCGAGCAGAACCUCCAGGAUAAAAACAAACCCAACAGCUGAAACGUGAUCCGACUGAGAGGAAACCGGGACAUGAGACACCUGAAGGCAGAAGGUCCUAUUUAAAGCAAGGGAGGGAAAACCUCUCCAGCCCACAGGAAGGAGUCGUUUCCAACAAAAACAGUUUCAGUUCCUCAGACGGAUCAGGAAGCCCGCUCAGUUCAGAACCAGAACCUCUGAGGAGGUCCAGAAGAAACGGCACCAGGUCUGAAACCAGGAAUGAAACGGCACCAGGUCUGAAACCAGGAAUGAAAUGGCAGCAGGUCUGAAACCAGGCAUGAAACGGCAGCAGGUCUGAAACCAGGAAUGAAACGGCAGCAGGUCUGAAACCAGGAAUGAAACGGCACCAGGUCUGAAACCAGGAAUGAAACGGCAUCAGGUCUGAAACCAGGCAUGAAACGGCACCAGGUCUGAAACCAGGAAUGAAACGGCAUCAGGUCUGAAACCAGGAAUGAAACGGCAGCAGGUCUGAAACCAGGCAUGAAACGGCAGCAGGAGGAAACCUGACGGCCUCCAGUAAUUGAAGCUCUUGGUCGUUUUUACAGAAACAGGUCAGAACCGGAUCAGAACCGGUCGGGUCAGAACCGGUUUGACAUCAGGUGGUGCAGGUUGUCAGAUCGGCGGAGCGUCCAGAGAGAAUCUGAUCGUCACACGUUAACGGGACGAGGUCCGGUCCACAUGGCAACACCCAGAGAACUCGGAGCAGAACCCUGGAUCAUUCAGGUCAAAGGUCACAUGCAAUCCAGUCAGAGAGACGCCUGUCCUGCUACAAACUGUGAAAGAUGAAGAUGAGGAUGAGGUCACCUCCAGAUUCUGUUUGAUAAACAGACCAGCAGGCGCUCUGAUUGGACGGUGUCUGUGUGUGUCUCUGUGUGUGUGUGUCUCUCUGUGUGUGUGUGUGUCUAUGUGUGUGUGUCUCUGUGUGUGUGUGUGUCUCUGUGUGUGUGUGU